AAACAGCUGCUAAUACCGCAUAAGCGCACAGUACCGCAUGGUACGGUGUGAAAAGAUUUAUCGGCAUACGAUGGAUCCGCGUCUGAUUAGCCAGUUGGCGGGGUAACGGCCCACCAAAGCGACGAUCGGUAGCCGGCCUGAGAGGGCGGACGGCCACAUUGGGACUGAGACACGGCCCAAACUCCUACGGGAGGCAGCAGUGGGGAAUAUUGCACAAUGGGGGAAACCCUGAUGCAGCGACGCCGCGUGAGUGAAGAAGUAUUUCGGUAUGUAAAGCUCUAUCAGCAGGGAAGAAAGAAAUGUUUGUACCUGACUAAGAAGCCCCGGCUAACUACGUGCCAGCAGCCGCGGUAAUACGUAGGGGGCAAGCGUUAUCCGGAUUUACUGGGUGUAAAGGGAGCGUAGACGGCGAUGCAAGUCUGAAGUGAAAGGCGGGGGCCCAACCCCCGGACUGCUUUGGAAACUGUAUGGCUGGAGUGCAGGAGAGGUAAGUGGAAUUCCUAGUGUAGCGGUGAAAUGCGUAGAUAUUAGGAGGAACACCAGUGGCGAAGGCGGCUUACUGGACUGUAACUGACGUUGAGGCGCGAAAGCGUGGGGAGCAAACAGGAUUAGAUACCCUGGUAGUCCACGCCGUAAACGAUGAGUGCUAAGUGUUGGGGGUCGAACCUCAGUGCUGA
rnacentral:rRNA from 1 species